GAUGAACGCUGGCGGCGUGCCUAAUACAUGCAAGUCGAGCGAACAGACGAGGAGCUUGCUCCUCUGACGUUAGCGGCGGACGGGUGAGUAACACGUGGAUAACCUACCUAUAAGACUGGGAUAACUUCGGGAAACCGGAGCUAAUACCGGAUAAUAUAUUGAACCGCGUGGUUCAAUAGUGAAAGACGGUUUUGCUGUCACUUAUAGAUGGAUCCGCGCCGCAUUAGCUAAUUGGUAAGGUAACGGCUUACCAAGGCAACGAUGCGUAGCCGACCUGAGAGGGUGAUCGGCCACACUGGAACUGAGACACGGUCCAGACUCCUACGGGAGGCAGCAGUAGGGAAUCUUCCGCAAUGGGCGAAAGCUUGACGGAGCAACGCCGCGUGAGUGAUGAAGGUCUUCGGAUCGUAAAACUCUGUUAUUAGGGAAGAACAAAUGUGUAAGUAACUAUGCACGUCUUGACGGUACCUAAUCAGAAAGCCACGGCUAACUACGUG
rnacentral:rRNA from 1 species